rnacentral:rRNA from 1 species
UACGGGGGGAGCAAGCGUUGUUCGGAUUUACUGGGCGUAAAGGGCGCGUAGGCGGCGCGACAAGUCACUUGUGAAAUCUCUGGGCUCAACCCAGAACGGUCAAGUGAUACUGUCGUGCUAGAGUGCGGAAGGGGCAACUGGAAUUCUUGGUGUAGCGGUGAAAUGCGUAGAUAUCGAGAGGAACACCUGCGGCGAAGGCGGGUUGCUGGGCUGACACUGACGCUGAAGCGCGAAAGCUAGGGGAGCGAACGGG